UGGGGAGAAAGGGUGGUAUAUAAAGGAGCUAAGGGACACACCAGCAGUUGGUUUGCUUGGCGAGGAGCUGAAGGAAGGAGGGAUCUCUGGAGCAGGACCAGCCUGUAACGAGAUCCCUUGAUUAAGGCAAGCAAAUGGCUUCGUUUGUCGGAUUUCAGGAUGGAUCCUAACAUUGCACGCUGAGGAAAGAAGUCCAUUUCUCACGUUUCCAGCACUGGAUGUUGCACAAAUGGCCUGAUCGUGUGAUUCAGAUCAGGCUAUAGUUACCGGCUAACACAUAUUCUGAGGAUUUCUGCCUCGACAAAGAUGUGGGCAGUGCCCUUGCCCUGUGCAGGAGGAUGAAGUGGCUCUGUCAAACAGCUCUACCUGGUGAGCGUGUCCUCCCAGGGAGCAAACUCCUCGAAUGACACACAAGGCAGCUCUGUGCCGUGUUUCCAUACUGUCAGUAUGAUUCUCCUUCCCUCCAGAGAUACUACAAAGUGUUUCACCGAGGUGAUGGCAUUACCAGAACAGUGCAGGAAGAGGCUGGGCAUUUUGGGGUCCUUUCCUAAGAAAUCCCACAGAGCCCGCUGACACUGUGGGAUCUGAGUUGCAGAUCAAUACAGGGCACCAAGCACACAGUGCUGCUCAGCUGUAAUGGCACUUUUCUUUUCCUAAAAUCAACUGGAAAAUAAUUUGGGUACUUUCCCCAGCAUUUUUGGCUUAAACCAGAAGCACCCUCUAAAUUUCUCUCCUUGAUGCUUGCCUAUAAGUGCAUGUGUAGAAGACAUUUGUUCCCCUUCUGAUCUUUUACUGAAAAUACAGUCUUUCUUAAAAUAAAUCCCAUUAUCCUAAAGGUUUCUUCUCCUCUUCAUCUACCCCUGGAUGAGAUCUGUGGUGAAUAUUCUGGGUCUGAACUCCCUUGGCCUUGUUUUACAUAGGUACUUUUGGCAUUGAUGUUCUCUGUGCUAAGAAGCACAUGUAAAUGUAACAAACUGGUUAUUUCCCAUCACCCUGGGACCCUGCUCCCAGCCCUGCCAGUGACUCACUCCAGACUUAUCUCUCUUUGCUUUCUACUCUGAAAAUAUCAGAUGUAGCACAUAUAUUCUUUGGGAGAGAGCACCUUAUUUUGUCUGGACAUCUGUGA